UACGUAGGGGGCAAGCGUUGUCCGGCUUUAUUGGGCGUAAAGAGCGUGUAGGCGGCCUGAAAGGUCAGCUGUGAAAACUCGAGGCUCAACCUCGAGACGUCGGUUGAAACCAUCUGGCUAGAGUCCGGAAGAGGAGUGUGGAAUUCCCGGUGUAGCGGUGAAAUGCGCAGAUAUCGGGAAGAACACCCGUGGCGAAGGCGGCACUCUGGGACGGUACUGACGCUGAGACGCGAAAGCGUGGGGAGCGAACAGG
rnacentral:rRNA from 1 species